CUGUUUACCAAAAACAUAGCCAUAAGAAAAAAUUAUUAAUGGUGACGCCUGCUCAAUGAUUGCACAAUACACAAAACAACAAUUUAAUAGCUGCAGUAACACUUGACUGCACAAAGGUAGCACAAUAAAUCGCCUAUUAAUUAUAGGCUCGCAUGAAGGAAAAACGAAAUUUACUCUGUCUCAAGACUCUCAAAAAGAAAAUAGAAUGUGUGUGCAAAUCCUAACUUAGGCAGCAAGACGACAAGACCCUAAGAACUUUACUCUCAACUUAAAUAAAACACAACUCUUAAAAACAUAAAAGAAAACUCUAAGUCCCUGAGUUUCGUUGGGGCAACGAUCUCAAAAAAAAUAACUAAGAUUAUUAUAAUUAAAUAAAUAAAAGAUUAAUAAAUCAAAACCUAAGAAUAAGACCCAUUACCAACAAAAACCUAAUGAUUAAAACAUAAAAGCUCCUUAGGGAUAACAGCGUAAUAUUGUUUUCAAAGAUACUUUCAAACAAUGUUUGCGACCUCGAUGUUGAAUUAYRA
rnacentral:rRNA from 1 species